GCAACCUUCCGGUUACUAGUCCAAUGCUCUAACCACUAGGCUACCCUGCCGCCCCAUGGCUGUUUUAAGAUGAAGUCCUCAACCUUGUUGUCACGGAUUCCGGUACUGCUUCUCAUUCCUUUUACCAGCUCGAGGUCUACCUCACCGGCCUUUUACUCAUCACUGAACUGAAUCAUUACCAUCAACCCCGGACUAUCUUGUCUCAUUAGGCACACCUGGUUCCCAUUCCCCCUGAUUAGUAUGUGUAUAUAUGUGCCCUCUGUUCCUCAUUGUCUUUGUUGGUUAUUGUUCCAUGUCCGUUGGUCUUGUGAGUACCUGUGCUCUGUUGUAUCGGCUUUCGUGUUACUGUGUUAAGGCCUGUGUCUAGCGGUUAUGUACUACCAGGCCUCAGGUACGCCUGAGGUGGGACUGUGUACAUGUUAUUAUGGGUGUCGUCCCGUGUAUUGUUAUUACGGGUCUCGUCCUGUGAAUUUACGGGUCUCGUCCUCACUAUUUGUUUGGAUUACAGCCCUGUGUUAUAUAUAGACGUGUUUGUUUUGGGCUUCGUCCUCUUCAUGUUCAUGACAUACUCUAUUUUGGGUAGAGAAAAAUAAUAAUAUAUUUUUUAUUUCUGCGCCUGUCUCCUAUCAUUAUACAAUGUGACAGAAUAAUCAACCCAUCUAAUGGAGACAGCGGGAAAGGCCAAGCUGGCGACCAUCGUAGGGACAGUCCAGCAUCACAAGGGCGGUCUCUCCAGACGCCAUGGACAGCAUAUUGGCAACCAUCCUGCGUUUGGAGGGGAAUGUGCAGUCCCUCCAGUCUCCAGCACCGGUUCCAGCACCAGCCCCCACACCACCACUACCUGCCUCCGUCCCAUCUGAGCCGGUCGGCGGAAUACCCCAGAGUGCUUUGACAGGGCGCCAGCGAGAUGCAAGGGAUUCCUUCUGCAAUGUGACCUUGACCUCGCUCUCUACGCCGAGGCUGUCUCCGGGAGAGACAGGGUUGCCACCGUCAUCUCGGCACUGACCGGACGGGCCCUGGACGUUGGGCCCUGGGUGUGCCCAACGUUGAGUCCUACGAGCUCUUCACCCGCUUCCAUUCGAUGUUCGAUCAUCCUGUGCUGGGCUGAGAGUGGGGUGAGUGCUUACUCCGACUACCCCAGGAAUCUAGGACCGCCUCGGUGUUCGCCCUGGAGUUCCGGACCAUCUCGGCCUCUUGCCUCGGGCCGCUUGCCCGAGGCAGCACAUAGAAGGAGGAAUCUGGGCUCCUGUUGUGGAGAAAAGGGUAUUUUCUUCCCAACCUGCCCUCUGGCCAUUAAUAGGUGCGGAAGUGACAAGCCAGGGAAUUCCCCUGCUUCAUCCCAAGGGAGGUGUCUCGCGGUGUGUGUCAACACCACUACUGUGGAAAGUCCAGAUCACGCCCCUCAGGUGGAUUUACCGGAGGAAUACCAGGAUCUGCACCGGGUUUUCUCUAAGACCCAGGCUACAUGCCUGACUCCUCAUCGCCCCUGGGACUGUGCCAUUGACCUGCUGUCUGACGCAGCCCUCCCGAGAGGACACGUCUACCCUCUCUACUAUGCGGAGACCGAGGCCAUGAAGACCUACGCACAGUAGAGCCUCCAGCAGGGUUUUAUCUGCCCCUCUACGUCACCAGCCUUCUCAAGCUUAUUUUUUGUUAAUAAGAAAGAUGGGGGACUGUGCCCCUGCAUUGAUUAUCAAACACUGAAUAAAGCCACGUUAAGUUCAGCAUUGUGGUUAAUACUGUAUAUACAACAUUUUGGUCUAUUCUGCUGACAGCGCCCAGCAUGUCUCCUUGGUCAGGUCCGUGCUGGGAAGACUGUUGGAGCAUCAUCUAUAUGUUAAACAAUUUAAAAAAUGUUUUUCCAGCGGUCCGUGUCCGUUCUGGGCUACCUCAUAUCCACGGAGGGGGUGGAGAUGGAGGAGCAAUGCAUCAGCGCAGUCAGGUCAUGGCACAUCUCCAACUCCGUGAAAGCAGUCCAGCGAUUCCUGUGGUUGGCCAAAUAUUUCCAGAGGUUCAUCCGGGCCUUCAGCCCAGUGGUCGCGCCUCUUACCUUCCUGCUGAGAGGAGGUCCCCGUUGGGCUUCGUUGGAUGGCGGAAGUGGAGAAGGAAAUCAAGACGCUGAAGGCACGCUUCACCAUUGCUCCUGUGCUGGCACAUCCCGAUCCCUCACUCCCCAUCGUCGAGGUGGAUGCCUCCAAAGUAGAAGUCGAGGCAGGGCUGUCCCAGCACACCGGAACCCCUCCAAAGCUGUGGCACUACACCUUCUACUGCAAGCAGCCGAGCCCCGCCCAGAGGAUCUACGAUGUAGGGGACCGGGAACUCUUGGCGGUCAAAAAGUCUCUGAAGACAUGGAGGCACUGGUUGGAGGGGUCCAAAACCAUUUCCUGGUGUGGAAGGACCACCGCAACCUGGAGUACAUCAGGACAGCGAAGAAACUAGACCCUAGACAGGCCAGUUGGGCUCUAUUCUUCGCCAGGUUCCAAUUCAUGCUUUCCUAUAGGCCAGGCUCUAAGAACGUGAAGGCGGACGCCCUGUCUCACCUCUAUGACGCAGAGGAGAGGCAGGGGGAGGAGACACCCAUCAUCCCUCCAUUCCGUAUCUUCGCGGCAGUGGUGUGGGACGACAUACUGGGAUAGUCUGUACCAUCGCCUGCCUGACUGAGAAGUGCUGGUGGCCCACCUUGGCUAGGGAUGUCUGGGUUCCUGCUUCCUGCUCCAUCUGUGCCCGAUCUAAGACACCCAGACACCUCCCUUAUGGAAAGCUCCUUCCCCUGCUGGUUCCACAACGACCCUGGUCUCACCUCUCGGUGGACUUUCUCACUGACCUUCCCCCCCCUCCCGGGGGGACAUCAACUUUUCUCUUCGUUAAUGGACAAGUUUUCCAAAGUUUGUCAUCUCCUUCCUCUGCCGGGACUCCCAUCGGCCAUGCAAACCGCCGAGGCUCUUUUUAUGCAGGUCUUCCGGCACUAUGGGAUCCCGGAGGACAUUGUGUCAGACCGUGGCCCUCAGUUCACUUCACGCGUAUGGAAGGCGUUCAUGGGACGCCUGGGGGUCACGGUCAGUCUCACCUCCUGGUACUGUCCUCAAGCUAAUGGGCAGGUGGAGAGGGUCAAUCAGGAUGUGGGCAGGUUCCUGAGGUGUUACUGUCAGGACCGGCCGGGGGAGUUGGCGGAUUUUCUACCUUGGGCUGAGUACGCGCAGAAUUCCCUUCGCCACUCCUCCACUAACCUUACUCCUUUCUAGUGUGUUGGGGUAUCAUCCGGCCCUGGCAGCUUCGCAUUCGAGCCAGACCGAGGCCCCUGUGGUGGACGACUGGCUUCGCUCGGCUGAGGAGAUCUGGAACACAGCGCAUUCUCGUCUCCAGCGGGCCGUGCGUCGUCACAAAGGAACAGACCGACUGCCACCACAGUGAGAGUUUGGAACACUGUAUCGGCAUCAUCGAGGGGAAGUCCAAACAGGCCUGCUACAUCCUGGGCUUUCAAGAUGACAGCUUGAUUUACAUGGACCCUCAUUACUGUCAGUCUUUUGUGGAUGUCAGCACGAGCCAUUUCCCUCUGCAGGAUUCUAGUCAUAUCGUUGCCCGUCGCCAAAGAAGAUGCCUUUCAGUAAAGAUGGAUCCUAGUUGUACCAUAGUCCUGGAUACUUCUAUAGUAGAAGCCUAUGAGAGAAUCAGCCAAGAACUGUCCAAGGUAUUUCAGCCAUCAGUGAAGGACAAAUCCCCAGCAUUCACUUCCAUGCAAGGUUUCGGAAGAGAUUACGACCUUUCGGCAGCAUUAACCCCGGAGAAAAGGGAAUGGCCCUUCAUCCACAACCCACGGACAGUGGCUGCCACUGCUGGAGACUUUGUGCUGCUCUGAAGGCCGACGCCAAGGGCAAAGGUCAUGAUCAGAGACUUUUUCAAUGGCCGGCGAAGUGACUUUACCAGACAGACUGAAACAGGCUUAUCCAAGGCCAGGACUCGUCAAACGGGACCUCUCAAGACCCCCUCUCAGACACUCCCUAUACCCUAUGGAUCUGCUAGCUAUGAAACAAUUAUUUCAGACACUUAAAUGUAUUUAUUUAUUUUUCUCACACCAGCAUUCAUGGCUUAAUUAGCUCAACUUAAAAACAUUCAAACUGUUAUCCUGUACUGUAGAUAGUUGCUGUUAGUUUUGACUGCUCAAAUGUAAUCAGUAACAUUAGAAAAAAGAAUCAAACAUACCAGAAGUCUGUAUUAUGGAUAUGAAAUUGUACUUAGGGAUAUGCGCUCUACUGAAUCUUAUACAUUGUACAUUAUUGAUACUGAUGGAUAAUCUGGUGCCUUGGCUUAUUGGAAGAGUGACUCUCAGCCAAAUAUAACACACAUUUACCUUUUAAGGAAAUCAGUGCUGCACUACAGAAGCUGCCAACGGGAUCAUCAGAGGACGUGUAUGAGGAAGGAUAUAUCUGUGGUUCUAUAGCUGGGCCUGGUGAAGUGCUUGUAUAGGAGAGUGCCAUUCAUAUACUAGAGUUCGUUUUUUUUAGCAAUACUGAGAAAGUACUGGAGGUUUGGAUUGGUAAAAUAUGUUCUAGGUUGUUCACAUUUACCUUAGGAGGAAAAGUAUUAUGUUGCCAAAUCAUUUCAAGAUGUUUAGCAUUUUCCGAGGUAGGUUAUUCGAGCAUUUCUGAUUAUUGUCCUUGAAAAGGUACUUUGGUACAUGACUUUUCUUUUUUUCAUUUCAAAGCAAAUGAAAUGAGUCUAAAUGGAAGGUUUGUCAAUGUCACGGUCAAACAUCUAUGUAGGUGACGUGUACAAUGCCUUGCUUCUCCUUGCACUUUCAUUAGAAUUGCACUAGUUACAAACUUCAAACACACUAUACUCACAUACUAACUGCAUUGUAAUAAUUGAAUCAUCUUGUUUAAAUGGUGACAGACAUUUGUAGAAUAAACUAUAUAUUUUUUUUAUGUGGGUUGAAGAUAAGGUUGAAUAUAUUUGAAAUGUUGUACUCGACUGUAAAUCUAUAAAGACAGCUACAUUCUACCAGCGCUGCCAAAUAUGAACCAAAUUCGUCUCUUUAUCACAAUAUUGAUUCUCACACUGCUGUGCAGAAAAGUAAAAUAAAGUCAUAAAAUCUGAUCCCUGCAACUCUUCACACGUUCCAAAAGCAUUAAAGAGUUUUUGUUUUA